GACGAACGCUGGCGGCGUGCUUAACACAUGCAAGUCGAACGGAAAGGCCCUGCUUUCGUGGCGUGCUCGAGUGGCGAACGGGUGAGUAACACGGGAGUAUCCUGCCCUUGACUUUGGGAUAACUUCAGGAAACUGGGGCUAAUACCUGAUAGGAGCUCCUGCUACCUGGUGGGGGUCGGAAAGUUUCGGCGGAUUGGGAUGUACUCGGGGGUUAUCAGCUUGUUGGUGGGGUAGUGGCUUACGAAGGCUUUGACGGGUAGCCGGCCUGAGAGGGUGACCGGCGACAAUGGGACUGAGGUACGGCGCAGAGUGCUACGGGAGGCAGUAGUGGGGAAUAUUGUACAAUGGGGGGAAGCGUGAUGCGGAGAUGUUGCGUGUGGGAUGACGGCUUUCGUGUGGUGAACGGCUUUCGCCUGUGACGAAGCGUGAGUGACGUUACCGGGUAAAGAAGCACCGGCUAACUACGUG
rnacentral:rRNA from 1 species